rnacentral:rRNA from 1 species
GACGAACGCUGGCGGCGUGCCUAAUACAUGCAAGUAGAACGCACAGUUUAUACCGUAGCUUGCUACACCAUAGACUGUGAGUUGCGAACGGGUGAGUAACGCGUAGGUAACCUGCCUGGUAGCGGGGGAUAACUAUUGGAAACGAUAGCUAAUACCGCAUAAUAUUAAUUAUUGCAUGUUAAUUAAUUGAAUGGUGCAAUUGCACCACGACCAGAUGGACCUGCGUUGUAUUAGCUAGUAGGUGAGGUAACGGCCCACCUAAGCGAAGAUACAUAGCCGACCUGAGGAGGGGGUCCGCCCAAACGGGAACGGAGCACCGGCCAAGACCCUUAGGGGAGGCACAGUAGGGGAACUUCGGCCAAGGGCGGAAAGCUUGACGAGCAACGCCGGCGUGGGGGAUGAAGGUCUCCGAUCGUAAAGCUCUGUUGUAUGGGAAGGAAGAGUGUGAGAGUGAAAUAUUCACGUUGUGACGGUACCUAACCAGAAAGCCACGGCUAACUACGUG